rnacentral:rRNA from 1 species
UACGUAGGGUGCAAGCGUUAAUCGGAAUUACUGGGCGUAAAGCGUGCGCAGGCGGUUGUGCAAGACAGAUGUGAAAUCCCCGGGCUCGACCUGGGAAUUGCAUUUGUGACUGCACGGCUAGAGUGUGUCAGAGGGGGGUAGAAUUCCACGUGUAGCAGUGAAAUGCGUAGAGAUGUGGAGGAAUACCGAUGGCGAAGGCAGCCCCCUGGGAUAACACUGACGCUCAUGCACGAAAGCGUGGGGAGCAAACAGG